CUUGCAUCUCCAAAAUCCCAAGGUGGUAUGGGCUUCCGGGAUUUAAAAUUAUUUAACUUGGCGCUGCUCGGGAAACACGGAUGGAGAUUCAUCACAAAUCCGGAUUCAUUAUGCGCCAGGGUUAUAAAGGGCCGGUACUUUCCCAACGGGGAUUUCUUGGAGGCCACGGUGCCGAAGACGGCCUCUGCUAUUUGGCGCGCAAUUGUUGCAGGCAGGAGGGCGCUUGAUGUUGGGCUAAUCAAAAGGGUUGGCGACGGGACUACUAUCUCCAUUUGGCAUGAUAAGUGGAUCCCAGAUUUACAAACUUUAUCUCCUAUGAUUGUACCAGGAGGGACGACGCUGGGAACGGUGGACCAGCUUAUUGAUACAGACAACUGGUCAUGGCGUAGGGAGCUGGUUCGUGAUGUGUUUACUGCACUCGAAGCGGAUGCGAUAUUGAAUAUCCCACUACGCAGAGGUGGCGGCGAUGAUUUUCUUGCUUGGGCCCAUGAAAGAAGCGGCAUCUAUUCUGUCAAGUCG
rnacentral:rRNA from 1 species